GACGCUUCAUGAUGGGAUGGACUGAAAUGUCUCCAGACGCCGGUCUUUUCCUGAUGUUCUGCGGC
rfam:Myotis davidii contig22989, whole genome shotgun sequence.